rnacentral:tRNA from 1 species
AGUCCGAUGGUGUAAUGGUAGCACAGGAGUUUUUGGUUCUCCUUGUCCAGGUUCAAAUCCUGGUCGGACUA